rnacentral:lncRNA from 1 species
GGCAUUUGCCCAAUCUUGAGAGGAUGACCUACUCUCUUCCCUGAUGGUAUCUCCAAGAUUCGCUGCUUCCAGAUGGAUCUUGGUAUCCAGUACCGAGGUAAGGUAAUUUUUUCCAGUAAUGUCCAGGGCAGCGAAAUCAAGCUUUGCCAAGUUUGCCAUUUUCUUUUCUAAAAGAAAAAUGAGGUGUGUAAGAACUUGCAAUAAUAUGUGUUCUGGAGGAAUAUAUUGUUAGAACUUCUGAUUCUUACAAAUUUUUGAUCUUCAGGUCAAAAUGUUAAGUACUCAAAACUUCAGGCUCGAUAUUUACAUAAUUAAUGAGAAGGGCAAUUGUACCGCACCAUUCUCAUCGAAACAAGUAUAGGAUGGGCGAUUAUUCUGCACCACUUUAAACAGCAGGAAAAUUUAAAUAUAUCGAGCAAGGUGGACGAUUAUACCGCACCACCUAAAAUUGCGAUAAAAUUUAAAUACCCAAAACAGGAUGGACGAUUAUACCGCACCACCUAAAAUUGCUAUAAAAUUUAAAUAUGCAAAGCAGGGUGGACGAUUAUACCGCACCACCUAAAAUUGCGAUAAAAUUUAAAUAUGCAGAGCAUAGUGGGUGAUUAUUCCACACCACCUAAAAUUGUGAUAAAAUUAAAUAGCAGGUAAAUUUAAAUAUGCAGGAUAGGGUGGGCGAUUAUACCGCUCCACUUAAAAUUUGUAGUAAAAUUAGAUCUGCAAUCCAAAAUAGGCGAUGAUACCGCACCAUCUUGGAUUGCAUAAAUAAACACUGGGUUAGUAGUCAAGAGUUACACCAAACAAGAAAUCAAAGAUAUAAGUAAUUGCUAGGUUGAGAACUAGAAGUAAACAUGGUGCAAACAGUUCUUCGCGAUGGUAUAUUCAGCAAUUGAGGCAGAGGAAGAAGAAGAACAAUAAAAACCUUAGAGGAAACAUUUUUUUUUUCGAUGAAGGGAAAUGAGAAAUUAAUAGAGAUUCGUGUUGAUAACGUGUUAUAAAUAGGUAAAAGUAGAGAAAUAACUUUUGC